rnacentral:lncRNA from 1 species
UGCAAGGCCUGCAGUCAGAUCCUUUAUGCCAGUCUUCUGGAGUUUCAAAAAAGACAAAACAAAAAAGUUUCCAGGGUUUUCUCCUCAUCCAGAGACAUGAAACACAAAAAUAUGGAAACCGAAAGCAAACCCACCACGGAGUGCUGGUGAGACUGGCAGGCUCAGCCCAGAGGGCAGAGGCCUGUAGCAGGAGUGCGGACCAAGAGAAAGGUCAGGAUGAGUGACUUGGACACCUUAGGCUUACCUAUGCCCCCUGUCCCUGAAGAUCACUUCCUUGAUUGCAUGAUACCUGAGCUUGAAAGGAUAUUUAGAUACAUUUUAUCCU